UUUUUGAAAAAACACAUUAUUUUUUAAUUAUUUCUUAAUUGUGUGAAAUCCAGUGAAAAUGUUCAUAUUUUAGGGGUGAAUGUUGUGUGGUUGACGUGUUUACAUUCACGACACUGGUAUGCGUGACCUGCAUCUACAAAUAGCUUCCACCGUUGGAGCGAUCUUGCUUCGGGUCAUCCAUACCAGUUCCAGCUGGAUUUCUGCUGCGGUGUCUGUUUACGCGAGUUGUUUUCUGCUGUAUUUGCACAUAUGCUUGAUUAUGGAUGAUAUUGUUGUUUUCACACGUCUCUUAUUUUUCUGAUUUUCCUUUCAGAGCUACAUGCAUUAACUAACCCUAAAGAACUGCCAGCAAGUGUGAACAUCAGCUAUUUGACUGAUUGACAUUUGACCCUAGGGGUCGAAGGGCACCGUACGUGAUAUAGCCCUAGCUGCUGGCACGGCAUAAAAAAAAAACAAACAAAGCCCUGAGACAAGAACUGACUCGUUUUACUUCUGAUGAAAUAAAGAAUCAGAAAAAAUAA